UACGUAGGGGGCAAGCGUUGUCCGGAUUUAUUGGGCGUAAAGAGCGUGUAGGCGGCCAUACAGGUCAGCUGUGAAAACUCGAGGCUCAACCUCGAGACGUCGGUUGAAACCGUUUGGCUAGAGUCCGGAAGAGGAGAGUGGAAUUCCCGGUGUAGCGGUGAAAUGCGCAGAUAUCGGGAGGAACACCUGUGGCGAAAGCGGCUCACUGGACCACAACUGACGCUGAGGCGCGAAAGCUAGGGGAGCAAACAGG
rnacentral:rRNA from 1 species